UGUGCAUUGUCACACAUACUUUCUUGAGCCCACUUGUCCACUGAUGGGGUUAAAUUUUCUCCCCACCGUUUUGACAUAGUGAGCUCUCUGCUUGAUCCAUUCCACCUGUCAUCCCAUCAAGCCUCCUCACGCUGCAGGUGUAUUGCACGCAUUGCUUUGGGACUUGUUUCAGCUGUGAUUGGCCCACCCGAUAUCAUGUGAUGCUUACACGUCACACAUCGGGUUAGGACAGCCUAUUUAAACGGCAUUUUGCUGCACACUCAGUGCAGAAUGCCGCAGGGUCAUAUGUUCAGUGAGCACUCGUGUCCUUAAUGCUUUGCAGUUCCCCUCCUGGAUCAAGCAGCUGAUUUCUUCUGGCUUUAUACACACUAAGCUUAUUGUGACUUUGCAACACUGCCUGCGAUCCUUAUAUAGAUCUUAUACAGAUAUUUUGGGAAAUCUACAUGAUUCCUUCCUUGAAUUAACACUGCAGCUGGAUUGCUCAUUGAUGUCCCUGGUCUUUAACCCCAUAAACCGUUAUAUAUGAUCAUGCACAUGACCAUUUUCACCUCGGCGGUUUUCUUUGUUUGUCGCUAGUUGUGGGCAACUCGUGGGUAAGAUAGUGUGGUCUUUAAACUUUGGAACCAUUUUUUACCAUUAUAUGUUGUACCUGAUUUAAGCAAUUGGAAUGUGUAUCAUAUUUUACUGGUUAAUGCUUGU